rnacentral:snRNA from 1 species
AUAGGUUAUCCACCUUUUGGCUAAGAUCAAGUGUAGUAUCUGUUCUUACUAGCUUAAUAUUGCUACAAUACAUUAACUACAGACUUUACUCUGAUUUUGUCACUUUUU